rnacentral:rRNA from 1 species
GUGGGGAAUUUUGCGCAAUGGGCGAAAGCCUGACGCAGCAACGCCGCGUGGGUGAUGAAGGUCUUCGGAUCGUAAAACCCUGUCGUCAGGGACGAAGGUUGCAUAUCUAAUAGGUGUGCAACUUGACGGUACCUGGAGAGGAAGCCCCGGCUAACUCUGUGCCAGCAGCCGCGGUAAUACAGAGGGGGCAAGCGUUAUUCGGAAUUAUUGGGCGUAAAGGGCGCGUAGGCGGUGUCUUAAGUGAGAUGUGUAAUCCCCGAGCUUAACUUGGGAACUGCAUCUCAGACUGGGGUGCUAGAGUGCUGGAGAGGGUGGUAGAAUUCCACGUGUAGCGGUGAAAUGCGUAGAGAUGUGGAGGAAUACCAGUGGCGAAGGCGGCCACCUGGACAGUAACUGACGCUGAGGCGCGAAAGUGUGGGGAGCAAACAGGAUUAGAAACCCCAGUAGUCC